UUCCUUGGCAGAAAUCUCCUCCUUUCUUUUCUCAUCUAAUGGUCCUAAUACACCUUUGUCAGUAGAGUCAGCACAAAGCUUCAUUUAUUUAAAAAAUGAUAUUUACAUGCAUUUUUUAAAAUUUAGCAUCACAUUUUAACCAUUUGUAACAAAUGGGUUCUCUUAUUAAGGACGGAAAGCAAAUUGCAACCGCUAAAUGCUCAUGAUUGAGCUCUUCCUUGGGUGAUUAACCCUCAAGCUGAGAGCAACUGAGGAAGAGGAUGGAAGGGAGGACAUGGUGUAGAGCUGUUACCAUGAGAGCAGAAAGCCCCGAGGCUGGAGCUCUCCUGCAGGAAUCCGAGCCGAUAUCUCCACUUUUCUGGAGCGGAUCAGCAGUUCAGCAACACCAACCGCCAUCCUCCACGCUCCAGCCAGUCACAAACACACCCACAUCCACGCAGGAAUCCGAAUCACACCGAGCAAAACGUUUAAAUCACAAGCCUGAGACCAUAAAGAAAUAAAGAGACUCGCCUCG